AAACCAACAGGGAUUGCCCCAGUAGCGGCGAGUGAAGCGGCAAGAGCUCAGAUUUGAAAUCGUGUUUCGGCACGAGUUGUAGAGUGUAGGCGGGAGUCUCUGUGGAGCGCGGUGUCCAAGUCCCUUGGAACAGGGUGCCUGAGAGGGUGAGAGCCCCGUAGGGUGCUGCGCGAAGCUUUUGAGGCCCUGCUGACGAGUCGAGUUGUUUGGGAAUGCAGCUCCAAGCGGGUGGUAAAUUCCAUCUAAGGCUAAAUAUUGGCGAGAGACCGAUAGCGAACAAGUACUGUGAAGGAAAGAUGAAAAGCACUUUGAAAAGAGAGUGAAACAGCACGUGAAAUUGUUGAAAGGGAAGGGUAUUGGGCUCGACAUGGGGGGUGCGCACCGCUGUCUCUUGUAGGCGGCGCUCUGGGCGCCCUCUGGGCCAGCAUCGGUUCCUGCUGCGGGAGAAGGGGCUCCGGAAAGUGGCUCUUCGGAGUGUUAUAGCCGGGGCCAGAUGCCGCGUGUGGGGACCGAGGACUGC
rnacentral:rRNA from 1 species